UAUGGAAGAGGCUGGUAGGAGAUAAUGAUGGAGAAGUAGAGAACCUCAGUGUGUCCAAAGCAGCAUUUGGAUCCCUGUGUUUUGUAGUCACUGGAGAUUAUUUAUCCUUGGAAUUUUUCUAAUCUAUAUUGAACCCAGUUUUACUUUAUCCUCCAGAACAUCCUGCGUCUGUGAGUUUGGCAAACUGUAGGGUGAGGAAAAAAAAUAAUUUUUCCUUACGUUUUUUUAAACGUAUAAGCUGCCUGUUAACCUGGUAAGCACCUGUGCCCAAGGGUGGUUUGCAUCUGUCUUUCUCUUCCUUUGUAUUCAGCGAGUGUUGCUGACAUGGUGAUAGGUACUAAAUAAAAAAAUAUGAUUACCAAAUGGGAAGUAUGAGGGCAACUAAUCUUUUCAAGAAGAUUAUGUAUUCUGUGCACAGAUGAUGGCUUUUUAGUGUCCACGGACUCACUUAGUGCCAGUAAGAUAAGCACAUACUUUUUUAUCAUCUUUGGAAGCACUGUAGCCCACAAAGCAGUUUGUGAUACUGCUGCUGUGAAAGUCCUCAUCUUUGCAUUGGUGAUGCAGCCUCCUGAUCCAUGGUGGUGUGUUUGGAGUCAUUGUUUGGAGUCAUUGGAGUCAUUUGUCAUUGUCAGAUGACCCACUGUUAAUGGGUCAUACUCAACCUGGACCUUCAGCAAGUGGAGUAGCACCAGGCCUGUCCGGGGACGUGCUCCUUUUAAUAGCGAGGACCUGGGGUAGGAGGCUGCGUGCAUUCACCAGGCCUACAGAUGACAUUGAGCUGGGGGAACCAGUCAGCAUGCUCAAGCACAAGGCUGCCAUUCAGAGCUACCUAGACAGGCUGGAGGAAUGUGUCGGUGACAACCUUAUGAAAUUCAGCAGGGACAAAUGCAAAGUCCUGCACGUGGGAAGGAAGGCCGCCUGGUAGCAAUACAGGCUGGGGACUGACUGGCUGGGGAGCAGCUGUGCUGGAUGGGAUUGUAGGGCUGUGAUAUGCAGCCAGCCAAAUGCAGGACAGCAGAAUGCCCCAGCAGCAAAGGGGGGCAACUGCGUCCUGGGCUCUGUCAAGAGAAGCAGCGCCAGUAGAUAGAGAUAACUGGUUAUCUGCCCUAGCAGUCGUCAGAUCAUGCCUAGAUACAGUGGCUCACUUUGGCUUCCUGAGUACAGGGAAGACAUUGAUAAACUGGAAUGAGUUCACUGAAGGCCCACCAAGACAGUUGGGGCUGGAGCACCUGCCCUGUGUGUGCAGAAAUAGAAGUUUCCAGAAUGAUGUGGGAGCCUAGCUGAAUGUGUAGCUUCCAGAUAUGGUGUUUAGAAGACAUCACAUCCCAUGAAUGCUUUGGAACACUGACCAGAAAAUAUGAUUCUGUAUCCUCACUUUUACCAAUAAUCUACAGUGGAGAACUUGAUGGACAUGAUCUUGGUGACACUUGACAAGAAAAAGAAGUAGGUGCCCCUUCAUGCUUCUUUGGAAACCUGAGAGCUCUCGAACUCCUGAAAUGCUACUAUCUGUAUGGAGUGUCUGUUAGCUUUUCACUUGCGGGAGGUAAAGAUAAACUUGUGAACUUGUAGAGCGGAAGGGCAAUUCUUGAGAAGCCGAUGCUGAGCUGAUAAAGAUCAGUGGGGCUUCCUGUGAUCUAUUUGCUGACAAAGGCAUUAACAAAGCCAACAUUUUCAUUCCAGGAGCACGAGUUCAGGGACAUAGAUCAUUGUCUCGCUGCUUGUGGUCUCCUUUUCUUUCUCAAUCAGUUCCUCCAGUUUCAACAAGAUUUCCAAGGGCCAAGGAGAGGAAGCCAUGACCACUUCCAGAGACCCAAGCUAGCUGGUGUAGAGCUGGCAAUAUCCACCCUCCACUGGAGACUUCAGCAGCUGGUGCUUGCUUCACAGUGUUAAUGUCAAAGACCUUAAGCAGUUCCACAUUCUUUCCAGCAAACACGCAGGCUACACACACAACCAGAGUUACUGGUCCAGCUCAGGCAGGACAUCACCGGGACCAGCAGCUCUCCAGAGCCAGGCACGGAGUGGGGAGGUGCCACGACAGGGCCCACAGCCAUGGCCCCGAGCUGUCUGUCCUGGCACAGAACAUUGCCUGUCAAAGGACGCAGAGAGACCCAUAACUCAGUAUUCAAGCUAUGCUCUGGGGCUGCAGAUCCUGAAGCAGAACCCUUCAUCUUGUUAGUCAUCUCUGUCAGAGUCCACCCUUGUGGUACAGUUGUUCUCAAUCUCCUCUCACUGCUGGUGCUGCGGUUGCUCGUGGCCUUGCUGCAGAAUUAUCCAUCAACGAAGAAUGUGCCUUGCCCACGGCAUCUUGAAACGCACCAGUCCCACUUUUGUUGCUUUUUUCUUCAGAAUGCAGAUGAUUCUGUACAGUUAUGAACUGUAGAAAUAGAAAAAUAGAAAAAUUCACUGUCACUGAAUUAUCUCCUUUCUCAGUUAUUAUGUUCUGCCUUUGCUUACACUGCUCUGUUCUCUUAAAUGCAUGUCUUGUCCUGCAUAUUUGCUGUUAACCAGUGUUAAUGUUUAAAUCAAAAAGAGAGCAGCUGAGCUUCUAAGUCCUAGGCAGGCAGUGGGGCUGAGGAAAAAAAGACUACAAAAAAUUCCCCUCAAGCCUAUGCCUUGUAAAUGAAAUUAAUUUUAUCUGGAAGCCAUUGAGACAUAAAACAUGCAGGAUUUUAAUGUCAUUUUGAUGAGACACUUUUCAGAGCAAAUCACACUUUAAAAACCCAAAGUUUUAAUAGCUGCGUAUGUUUGCUAAAAGCCAGCAAGUACAGACAGACAUAUUUUUAGAAUGGAAUAGAAAGAAACAGACCAUUACUGGUUAUUUAGAGAAAGUAAGGGAAUCAAUAAAUCUCUGCUCUAUAUGGAAAGAGACCUCAUGAGAAUAUUUCGGUUGCGACAAGAAUUAUUAAAAAUUAAGACAGCAAAAUUGUCUUCAUUGUUUAACUCCUCGUGACUGGGUAUUGCAAAACUCAAAUUAUUCUGUCAUACAUGUGUAUUUUCAGCAAUGACACUGCAUCAGUAAAAUGAAUAUUGAAAUAGGUAGGGGACUUCUUAGGUUUAAUUUAAGACUUCAAACAAAGGCAGGCAGCUUUUAAGCAACGCAUGGUUUCCAUGCAGCGAGUACCUUCGCCUUUGUUAUACAGGCACUGUACUGUACAAUGGCUUUCCAGUGUUGUUUUUUUUUUUUCUUUCUUUUUCUUAUUUUAUUCUUCAGUUAGUCUUCACACUGAGCUGAGGAAGGAUGGUAUGUAAUUUAAUCUAAUGAAGGUUAUUGCAGAGGUAAUUGUUGCUUGGGUGAUAUUAAAGUAGCACUUUGCAGCUGAUGAGCACUUCACUUCCCAUUUCAAAGCUAAAAAAAUUUAAAAAAAUAAAUAAAUAACACCCUGAGAAAUGGCAUAAUUUAGAUCUCUUUAUAAGAAAGCAUUAGAGCAUUCUCCAGUAUGAGGAAUAUUUAUCAUCUGUCCUCAUAUGUAAUUUGCCAGCAUAACUAAUUAAGAAAAAUAAGACAAAGCCACCAAGUACUGUGAUUGCAGAUCCUCCAUUAGUGGCAGUGUAACCACAUUUUGGAGUUUAGGAAUAAAGGAGUAGAUAUUUUUAGAUAUUUUUGCCCAGUGGAGGCACUUGCGUGCCAUAAUUAAAAUUUGCCUUUGUGUCGUUAGUUUUCCUAAUCCUGCUUGCGUGCUUGCUGUCAUGUACAGUCCCAUUGUGGGAGUAUGCUCUGAUCUGGGAUUAAUAACCAGAGUCUGGCUGUGCCCUGCUCUCCAGUUUGGACUCAGGCGUGUUACGUUCGUAUGCACAGUGCUCGACUUGUGAGGCAGUUGUCUGGCUGUGACGAAGACUUGGAUUGGUGAGAACAGCUUCGAGGUUCUUGGCAAAGCCUGCUGGACGUCCAGCAUGACCAAUUUGAUUCACGCUGGAAGCAUAAAAGGUGAUCUCAAAGGACAUAACCCAUCGGCAGCGGAGCAGAUGACAGACCAGCCAUGAUGUUCAUAUAUGCUUUAACAGCUUUAAUAAGUGGAACAUAACUGCCGCCUGCUUGCAGAGCCAGAUCACGAACUCCUUAUCUUGUAAAUCUCUAUUGAGCUCAUGGGACUGACUAAAAACCCACAAUAUUUUCUGUAAGAAGAGAUGCCUAAAUUCAAACGACACAGCCAAAUCUCAAAUUAAUUAGAUUUUAUAACUUAAGGGGGAGUUUAGGUUAUCAGAAUAUAAAAGAUUGCAGUCUUUCUCUUUACUUUUAGCUGUAUAGUUUUCUAUUUAAGAGUUGCCAGCUUUCAGCUGCCAAGUUAUAAUUCAGAUGAGGCUGAAUUUCAGUAAUAGUCAAAAUUAUUCUUAAACACAGCUUGUUUGUAGAGCUGUUUGGGACACAUCAAAGACCUGUGUAAAUGUUUUCUCUGAAGGUAGAGUAUUCAGGUCAGAUACAUAAUAUGUUACUGGUGCCUUAAAUUUAGGAAUUUUCCUACACUUCAGUACUGUCUCUCUCUUUCAGUGUAUCAGGUUCAGAAAUGCAACUGAUAGCCAACUGGCUUUUCUUUUAAGAAGGCUCAAAAUCCUUGAACAAAUUAACAAGUUGUGAGGGCUUCCAAAGGGAAAUUGCCUAGACUGGAGUUUGUCUGAGGAGAGUUUGUCAUCAAGAGGAAUUCUCUGCCAUCUAAGAAAUCUUUCACCAGCAGUAGACAUCCCUUACAUAGAAAACACUGCCAAGCACUUAUGGAAAUAUUUGAACUGGAAAUGACUGACUAAUUGAUUGACUGGGCUUUUUCUACCACAGCCUUUUUUUUUUUCUCCCCCCCCUUUUUUUUUCCUCUUUUUCAAUCAGGCAGUUUAGAAAUGAAAGACAUUCCUGGCCACGACUGCUUACUCAAUUGACUCAAUUUUCCCGUUUCCUCCCUGGCUUCCGCUGGGAUUGCUGCGACAGGGAAGUUUCAUUGUGCUCUGUUUCAGACUCAUCUCCUGCGGCUCAGGCCCAGAGUUUUAUUGGCCAUUUGCAAACCCUCCUGAAACCACGGGUCUGAGGGGGAAAUUGGCCCCGUAAGGCCUCAGAACUGCCUCUUUUAUUAUCGUCCUAAAAACUGUGCAGCAUGCUGAGGGUCAUGCGAGGGGUCAGGGUCAUCGCAACCACGGGAGGUAACAGGCUGAGCACCAACACCCCCAGCACCGAGGCCGGAGGCUAGGAAGCCCCACGUGCUCUCAGUGUCAGAAGGCAGCCAGAGGAACGGCUUCACCAGCAGGGACGAGAGCUUGGAGCAUCCUUCUGGGCACUGGGAGGUGUGGAUUCAAACCUUAGCAAUGAAUGGAUGACACGUCAGGACGGGCAGGUGUCCCUCGCAGGGAGUCUCCCUCCAGCCUCGGGAGAGAUUAAUUUUUUCAGGCUGUCAGCACUCCCUGAGAGUGCUUCAGACUUUUCUCUCCAAUUGAAUAAUUCUUGCUUUGUUGCUGCAAGUUGCUGGUCAUUUCAUCCUCUGGAUGGGCUGGAAGAAGUGAGGAAUUAGAAACCCUGGAAAUCCUUGGCACUUAACUUCAAAAUAAACUUCUCCCCUUGGUAGCAUGUCUGCAUAUGAAGGGUGUUGAGUCAUUCAAGGGUUGGUCCCUUACACGGUGAUGUACAGAAGCUUUCUGCAUGACACUGCCUUCAGUCACACCUCGAGAUGUAUGAGUUCCUUCUUUCACAGCACGCGGAUGUGUUCAGGCUUCCUGAAGCCACGCAGCCCAUGCAGAUGCGAUGCAGGCAAGCUCUGGGAACGUUUUGAAGAGGGAUAUUCCCAUUUUGCAGAGAGCGUGGCAGAAGCUGAAUGAAAUAUUCAAAGCUCAAUAUUAAGAAUUUAAUAAAUGGAUCCUCCUUGGCUGAUUCCCCAGCAGAUAUUUGCCCAGCAGCAGAAAGAAGUGAAGGUCAGAAGCAGAAGAGAAUAGGAGAGCGAGUGAUCAGGGCAGGAUCAAUGGCAAGCUCUGCCGUGGCUGUGUUCUGUCUGAAUCCUCUCCGAAGCCAAGCUUCCUGAGAAGAUGCAGUAUUUCUCUACCUUGCUUUAUCCAUCUUUUAUUAUUUUAUUUCAAGUCUCGUAAAAUCAGCAACUUGCAAUGCAAUAAAAUCUCUGCUUGCUUU